rnacentral:lncRNA from 1 species
UUGUUAAAUUUGCCAAAGUAGUUGGUCACCCAAUGUGUGGGACAAGAGAAAACGGCCAUUUUUUUGAGGUGGUCCAAAGGUAUUCGGUCUUUUGAAUAAUAUCUAAGGAGCUUAUUUUUCCACCAAAUGUUCCAGUUUAUUCCCCAUUUUUCUGCAUGUGUUUAAUGGCACGUAUAUUACAAUUAACGUAAUUUGAUGAAUAUGUUGACAGAGCUCCUGCUGACAGUGUUGAUAUAAUGAAUAUCAUGCAUCAUUAACACUAAACCCAUCAUUAGCUCCAAACCCAGCAGCUCACACUGCAACUCUUCACACACUGUAAGUGAUAUUUAGUUUAAUUAAGUGUGAAGUUAUUUAGAUCUGGUGAUGAUAACAGUGAGAUAAAGUGCUGUGAGGGCGAAAUCCAGUCUUAUGGUUUCUUCUCUCUGCUAACUCAUCAGAUACUAUUGACAGGUAUGCAGUUUCAGGUAAAUAUAUAAAGACCUGCUGUGCUCUAAACCCAGUAUCCAUCCCGACUUAUCCAACUUCAACACUUCAACACUUUCUCUGUCAUCAGACUAAAGACAUUUCCUCCACCAUGAAGACCAUCAUCCUCCUCGCCUGCAUCGCUGCCACCGCAAUGUGUGUGCCUGUGAGUAAAUUACAUAAUUACGUUUGAUAUAUGUCAGAUUACGAGUGUUUACUCGGCGCUAUAAUGAUGCCUCUCGCUCUGUACGUACACACAGAUGCAGUUUCUGGAGGUGGAACGUACCUAUCUGAGCCCUCAGCGACAGGCUAGUCCAAAUUAAAAUCAAUCCAGAUUUUAGAUUAUUGUGAAAACGUAUUAUUUAAUUCUGUUUUAUGCAUCUAAACAUUCUUGUACUGGUGUCUCUGUGUCUGUUUGUUUAGAUGGAGGCUGGACCUUCACAUCACACCAGUGUGGAAUAUCUAAUUCCUUUGGAAAGACAGCGCCCCUCAGCCACACUAGGAGUAAGAAUGUGUCUCCUUACUUGCUCUUUAUCUUUAUCUGUACACUACCCUUGUACUACUACCUUGUAGUACUUAUUAUACUUUAAUUACAGUAUAAAAAUAGUACUUAAU